GGGUCAGUAGGUUGGUCGUGCCACCGGUACGUACUGGUCUCACUGACUCCUCCUUCCUGAAGAACCGUAAUGCCAUUAAUUCGGUGUUGCGGGGAAACAGGACUGUUACUUUGAAAAAAUUAGAGUGUUUAAAGCAAGCUAACGCUUGAAUACAUUAGCAUGGAAUAAUGAAAUAGGACGAUCGAUCCUAUUUUGUUGGUUUCUAGGAUUGACGUA
rnacentral:rRNA from 1 species